CACAGCACGUCGAAGCUGACCCACACGAGGCACAGCUCCCGGCCCAGCCGCCACCGCCGCCCGGCCGAAAGCUCCUUCACCAGGCUCAGCGGCAUCACCAGCGCCGCCACCAGCGCGUCCGACACCGCCGUGGAUGCCACGAGGUUGUGGGGCACCCGGUGAAAGGCCUUCACCCGCAGGAUGGUCGCCAGCACCAGCAGGUUCCAGAGGAAGGUGGCCACGGUCAUAUGGUGCUGUUGAGAGAUAUCCAAAGGGAUUUGAAGAAGUUGAGCAUCCGUAAAUAAGACCAAAGAAGAUUGAAAAGUCCUAUGAAAGCUUC